UAAAGUAAAUACUUUUUACUUUAAGGUCUAUGAUUUGUCUAUGACUUAAAAUGUCUGUCAAAAAAUGUCAUAGUGAAAAGUCAUUGUGGAAAAUAUGAAGAUAUUUUAAGAGAUAUUAUUAAACUUUAAAUGUCGUUUCUUUUAUUUUACAGAGCAACACAUGUGUUUAUUUUAUCUCUGAGAAAGAGUCCUUUAUAAAACGACAUUUUUGUUUAUGAAGAAAUGAAGAUGGAAAAACUUUGUUUCAAAUUCACAUUACUUCCGGGGACUGAUGAAAAAUCGAAUAUACAUUGUAUAACUUCAAUAACUACGAGUGAAAAUAAAGUUUAUGUCAUACCAAAAGAGCUCCAGUCUGUUGUUCAUCACAGAGAAUUAAUAAAAACAGCGGCCUUUAUCAAGGUAAAAAACAGCUUAAAGAAAAGAUAUCAAGUACGAAACGUUUGGAUAACAAUGUCAGGAGAACUUAAAAAUACCUACUUAGAUGAGGAUAGUAAUUUACAAUUUGGAGAUCAAUACUUAGAGGAAAUACAACAAGAACAAACUGUGGCUGUACAAGA